rnacentral:rRNA from 1 species
AGGGAUGCUACCGGGCGACCGGAUGCGGAUCUCGAAAGCCUGUCCCAGUUCGGACUGGAGUCUGCAACCCGACUCCNCGAAGUUGGAUUCGCUAGUAAUCGCGCAUCAGCCAUGGCGCGGUGAAUACGUUCCCGGGCCUUGUACACACCGCCCGUCAAGCCAUGGGAGCCGGGGGCGCCUGAAGUCCGGGACCGCGAGGACCGGCCUAGGGCGAAACUGGUAACUGGGGCUAAGUCGUAACAAGGUAUC